rnacentral:ncRNA from 1 species
AUAAAUACUAUGAAGAGAAAAGUAGUUAUAAUUAGAUUUAAAGAGAGUCGACUUAAGCUGGAAUGUUGAUAUGAAGAUUAUAAUGAAGAACAUCUCGGAGUUUCUAUUCGAAAUUCUAUUUUAAAGAAAAGUAGGUAUAGAGGUCGCCAAAGCCUUAUUUGGAUUGAGUGAUUACUAUGGAAUAUUCAUUGUAAUAACUAGGGUGGUACCGCGAAUAUACCUUCGUCCCUAUU